rnacentral:rRNA from 1 species
GGACGAACGCUGGCGGCGCGCCGUAACACAUGCAAGUCGAACGAGAGAGAGGAAGCUUGCUUCCUUAAUCGAGUGGCGAACGGGUGAGUAACGCGUGAGGAACCUGCCUCAAAGAGGGGGACAACAGUUGGAAACGACUGCUAAUACCGCAUAAGCCCACAGCUCGGCAUUGAGCAGAGGGAAAAGGAGUGAUCCGCUUUGAGAUGGCCUCGCGUCCGAUUAGCUGGUUGGUGAGGUAACGGCCCACCAAGGCAACGAUCGGUAGCCGGACUGAGAGGUUGAACGGCCACAUUGGGACUGAGACACGGCCCAG